AACGAACGCUGGCGGCAUGCCUAACACAUGCAAGUCGAACGAGACCUUCGGGUCUAGUGGCGCACGGGUGCGUAACGCGUGGGAACCUGCCUUUAGGUUCGGAAUAACUCAGAGAAAUUUGAGCUAAUACCGGAUAAUGUCCUCGGACCAAGGAUUUAUCGCCUUUAGAUGGGCCCGCGUAAGAUUAGGUAGUUGGUGGGGUAAUGGCCUACCAAGCCGACGAUCUUUAGCUGGUCUGAGAGGAUGAUCAGCCACACUGGGACUGAGACACGGCCCAGACUCCUACGGGAGGCAGCAGUGGGGAAUAUUGGAGAAUGGGCGAAAGCCCGAUCCAGCAAUGCCGCGUGAGUGAUGAAGGCCUUAGGGUUGUAAAGCUCUUUGACCAGGGAUGAUAAUGACAGUACCUGGAGAAUAAGCUCCGGCUAACUCCGUGCCAGCCGCCGCGGUAACAC
rnacentral:rRNA from 1 species